rnacentral:rRNA from 1 species
UGAGGAAUAUUGCGCAAUGGGCGAAAGCCUGACGCAGCGACGCCGCGUGGAGGAUGAAGGUUUUCGGAUUGUAAACUCCUGUUAAGUGGGAAGAAACGACAAAAUAUAAUACAUUUUGUAACUGACGGUACCAUUAAAGAAAGCACCGGCUAACUUCGUGCCAGCAGCCGCGGUAAUACGAGGGGUGCAAGCGUUAUUCGGAAUUAUUGGGCGUAAAGGGUGCGUAGGCGGCGUAUUAAGUCAACUGUUAAAACCUCCAGCCUAACUGGAGAUCAGCAGUAGAUACUGGUAUGCUAGAGGAUGGAAGAGAGAAGUGGAAUUCUUGGAGUAGCGGUGGAAUGCGUAGAUCUCAAGAGGAACACCAAUGGCGAAGGCAGCUUCUUGGUCCAUAUCUGACGCUGAUGCACGAAAGCGUGGGGAGCAAACAGGAUUAGAUACCCUGGUAGUCCACGCCGUAAACGAUGAUCACUAGAUGUUAAUUCUGCUUGCAGAAUUAGUGUCGUAGCUAACGCGAUAAGUGAUCCGCCUGGGGGACUACGGUCGCAAGAUU